CGCGGGAUGGAGCAGUCUGGUAGCUCGUCGGGCUCAUAACCCGAAGGUCGUUGGUUCAAAUCCAGCCCCCGCAACCA
rnacentral:tRNA from 4 species